rnacentral:lncRNA from 1 species
AUAACUACUAGUCUGCUUGUAAUAGCCAUUCUGAAAGAUGUGAACAGUAUUGUGUAUAUAUACUUAUUUGUUCUAUUUAGCUAUGGAAUAAAUUCAAUUACUAUUAUUUCUACACAUACUCUUUCUUGAUUUUGUUUCCCAUAUUAUUCAGAUGGCUUUUGCACUGAGAGCAAACACAGCUGACAGCGUGGUCCACUCUUGCAGAUGCAGCCCAGAGUAUUUGUCUUCUGAUGGGCCAGUGGUUAAAGGAGUAAGAGGAAGAGGAUCUUUGAAGGGGCAAAGUGGUAAGCUCCACAUGGCUGAGGAGGCUUCACAAUCAUGGUGGAAGGCAAGGAGGAGCAAGUCACAUCUUACAUGGACGGCUGCAGAAUCGUCAGCAUAUCCUCAUUCUUCUUGGACAUGGGACAAGAGGUCGAGAUCCACCAACACAGGUACAAAAAAUAACACAAGUAGGGUGAGGCACUCCUGGCACAGCUGUGGGCUAAGCUGGUGCAUAAGCCAGACUCGGCCAGACUCAGGAGGGCAGGGCACCUCCUGUGGCAGGUUGUGUGCCCAAGUGAGACCAAGGUAG